CCCUCCUUCCUCUCAUUCGAAUGAACCCAAAGGAAAAUCAGGUAUCCACCUUCUCCUUUCUCUGUUGAACACAUCAAAAACCCCAAGAACAUCUUCUACCUCCUUUCGCCCCAUUCUCUGAAAAAUGACUAAUCUGUGCUGAAAAACUUCUACAGACAGGCAUUUAUAUUCCUUCAUCUAACCUUCGAAGAACUGAGUUGCGAAAAUCAAUUGGAUUUCUCUCUCUUUCGUGAUCCUUCAAGGAGUGCAGCAGCAGAAAAUUGAUUUGGUUCGAACAAAUCUUGACCUUGUUUCUGUUUGAGUAGGCACCGAAAUUUCCAUGACAAAGCUGAUUUUAUUUCACUUGUUUAGGCAUCAAAAAAAUCUGCCAGUGAACUCUGAUUUCUGUCGCUGAACAAGGAGUUUGUCUGCAUAACGGAAUCGGUCGGGAACGAUGGGUUAGCGGUGAUGAUUAAAAUUACAAAGAUGUUUUAUUGAGCUUGAGUACAUGAGAAGUGUAGUAUUGUAUUAGGUUUUUGAUAAAUGUAUAUUAGACUUGGUUGUGUUGGUUAUAUUGGACUUAUAGAGUGACUUUUAUGAUUACUUUGUAUUUUAGUUAGAUGUUUGGUUUGAGAAUUAGCUGAGUUAUUAGUUACGUUAAAGAGCUGGUGACUCCUUUGUUCAAGUUUUGAAACUGUGAUUUAAGUUUCUGGGGAAAUAGACCCCCGUGAUGACCUUGUUUAUUGAGAUAACGGUAAGUCGGGUUGUUACGAUAAUGACUUGAUUUAAUUUGGGCCUUGUUGGAGAAUUAAUAUGUAUUUUGUAAAUCAAUUAUCGAUUUUAUUACCGGCAAAACUAUCUCGUAUUUAAGAAAAUAGUUUUUAUGAAAUCUUCUGUGAUAAUGAUUUUAUAAACUUAUAAACUAUAUUAUAGUUGUUUUGAAUGAAUUUUAAAACUCUUUUAAGUUAUAUUUACUUUAAGAAGGAUUGAAACAAAACAUUUUAGUGAUUUCCUUGAAAAAUUGUAUUGAACUUUAAUCACUUUUGUUACAAUGCAUUUCCAUACAUGCUAGUGAUGCUCCAAUAUAAUGCAAAGGUUAUGUUUGAUGAUAUGAUUAUGCUUAGCAUGUUUUACCCAUGUAGGAAAGAUUAUUAUUUGAUUUUUGCUAUGUUGUAAAUAAAGUAUGUUUUGCUAUGCUAUAAAUAAAAGAUGUUUAUCAUAUAGAAAAAGUUAAUAUUUUUGACUUUUCAAAAUGCUAUUGAAAUUACAAGAUAUAUAUUAUAUACAAAAAUAUUUUAGCCUAAAUAGUAGGUACAUAUGCCACAGCAAAUGUUAUGUGCAUGAUUAAACGACUCACCAAUGCUAAGCACGUAUUGUUCACAAUACCAUUGUGUUACACUUGUUGGACAUGUUGCGGACGAUAGACCGACUACCAAACGAGUCACAGGAUGACUCAUAGAGUACCCAUGCAAACUUAGAUAUGAGUUUGAAAUUGAUUUGGAUCCAUUGAGAUUUUAUGAUUUAUAAUGAAAAAUGAGAACUUGGAAUUAUUAUGAAACCAUUGAAUUGAGUUUGAAUGAUGAUAUGAUUUAUCAAAUGAAAAAGCAUCUUUCAAAAUGAAUUCACUCAAACCAAAAUGUUUUAACAACUUGCUUGACGGACACUAGUGUGUUAUACUCGACCUUUUUGAUAAUAUUAUGCUUUGUAUAUUUUCCAAUGGUUUUGU